rnacentral:rRNA from 1 species
GAUGAACGCUGGCGGUAUGCUUAACACAUGCAAGUCGAACGGACUCUUCGGAGUUAGUGGCGGACGGGUGAGUAACGCGUGAGAAUCUGGCUUCUGGUUCGGGAUAACAGUGGGAAACGACUGCUAAUACCGGAUGUGCCUGCGGGUAAAAGGCUUGCUGCCAGAAGAUGAGCUCGCGUCUGAUUAGCUAGUUGGUGGGGUAAGAGCCUACCAAGGCGACGAUCAGUAGCUGGUCUGAGAGGAUGAUCAGCCACACUGGGACUGAGACACGGCCCAGACUCCUACGGGAGGCAGCAGUGGGGAAUUUUCCGCAAUGGGCGAAAGCCUGACGGAGCAAUACCGCGUGAGGGAAGAAGGCUCUUGGGUUGUAAACCUCUUUUCUCAGGGAAUAAGAAAGUGAAGGUACCUGAGGAAUCAGCAUCGGCUAACUCCGUGCCAGCAGCCGCGGUAAUACGGAGGAUGCAAGCGUUAUCCGGAAUGAUUGGGCGUAAAGCGUCCGCAGGUGGUUAUUCAAGUCUGCCGUUAAAGAGUCUGGCUUAACCAGAUAAAGGCGGUGGAAACUGAAAGACUAGAGUGCGGUAGGGGCAGAGGGAAUUCCCAGUGUAGCGGUGAAAUGCGUAGA